CAGGAAGCAAGAAACCAAGAAAUAGGUUAUGCAGGUUUUUUGAAGUACUAAAACGAUCAAAAGAAAACACUAAAGUCAUACACAUAGCAAUUGCAAAAGCCGCUACCACUUUAAGGGCUGGAGCAAAAAGAAAGGAAAGAUGUUGGGGUUAUAAGAAUCUAGAAUUUUGCAAGAAGGACUCUGUAGAAGUCUGAAGAGAGGCUGUUCCCAGCAGGUGGUAACUCAAGAGCUCACAGAAAGGGCUCCAAGGAACUGAGAUUCAGAUGUCUGAGGUGGAAGCACUGUCUGGCUGCUGCUGGUUUCUAGGAAGGAGUAGAAUGAGGAUGGCUCUUACGUGUGGAAUAAACAAAACAAAAAGGAAUCCUAGACCAGCUGCAGUUGCUAGGAUGAGGAGAUAUUGCCAGGGUGAUGCUCAAAAGAACAGUGAACAACCAACAGUUUCUUCUUUCCUCUUCAGGCCCAUUCUCCCUCUUGUAGCCCACAGUGGCAGGUCAAAGAAGAAACUAGAGUUUAAUCAGAGCAGAACAUAAACCGGAGAUUCUGGAGCUGGAAAAAAAAAUAGCCUGAUAACUGGUACAAGAUGCAAUAUGAUGGAAAGCAAAGUAAUCUAGCAGGAAGGAAAAAAAAAGGAACUCGUAGAAGCUAAAACAAAGCAAAGAAAGGAAGAAGGGUUUAAAACUGCUACUUAUAUUCACAGAAUAAGAAGAAGACGUCAUCUAUACGUAAACAAGAAGAUGCCAUUAAAUUUAGUGAAGGGGAGCAGAAUUUGCCACCACAAAAUAUGUCUCUUUGGCAUAGGGAUUCUUUUGGGCUGAUUAUUUUUAAGAAGCAACAGACAUAGGAAAAGCUCUGAAAGCUGAUUGAAGAAGUUCUCCAGAAAGAAUAAUGAAGCACCAAGGAGGAAAAGAAGACAAAGCAAGCAAGCAAAAAACAAAAUCAUAAGACAGACAAUGAAUUAAAGAGAUCCAAAAUUAAAUUGAUGCAAAAAGAAAUUUGAAUUUGAAAUUAUCAAAGAAUUAAUAAGAUAAAAUACUUCAAAAUAAAGCAUCUUUUCUUGUUACCGAACCAGGCUUGUUUUCCUGCCACGUGAUUAUGCCAAUCACUGGGAUGAUGGGUUUUCAGCAGAGAAAGGAUUUAUUCAGAAGGCAGCCAAAUGAGGAGACAGGAGAACAAAUCUUGUCUUCCUUUCCAAAAAUGGGGACUAGGGAUAUUUAUACGGUAGGGGGCAAAGUGGUCUAAAGUAUGGGGAUAGAUGAUUGGAGGUAAGGAGAAGUGAAGUAACUGAUUAUUUGUGCAAGUGUAGUCAAGCUUCAUGGCUCUUCAUAUGACACAUCUUCCCAAAAUGGUGGUCUUACCAUGACCUGAGG
rnacentral:lncRNA from 1 species